GAUGAACGCUGGCGGCGUGCCUAAUACAUGCAAGUCGAGCGAACAGAUGAGGAGCUUGCUCCUCUGACGUUAGCGGCGGACGGGUGAGUAACACGUGGAUAACCUACCUAUAAGACUGGGAUAACUUCGGGAAACCGGAGCUAAUACCGGAUAAUAUAUUGAACCGCAUGGUUCAAUAGUGAAAGACGGUUUUGCUGUCACUUAUAGAUGGAUCCGCGCCGCAUUAGCUAGUUGGUAAGGUAACGGCUUACCAAGGCAACGAUGCGUAGCCGACCUGAGAGGGUGAUCGGCCACACUGAAACUGAGACACGGUCCAGACUCCUACGGGAGGCAGCAGUAGGGAAUCUUCCGCAAUGGGCGAAAGCCUGACGGAGCAACGCCGCGUGAGUGAUGAAGGUCUUCGGAUCGUAAAACUCUGUUAUUAGGGAAGAACAAAUGUGUAAGUAACUAUGCACGUCUUGACGGUACCUAAUCAGAAAGCCACGGCUAACUACGU
rnacentral:rRNA from 1 species